rnacentral:rRNA from 1 species
AACGAACGCUGGCGGCAGGCCUAACACAUGCAAGUCGAGCGGACCCUUCGGGGUUAGCGGCGGACGGGUGAGUAACGCGUGGGAAUAUGCCCUUCUCUACGGAAUAGUCCUGGGAAACUGGGGGUAAUACCGUAUACGCCCUUUGGGGGAAAGAUUUAUCGGGGAAGGAUUAGCCCGCGUUGGAUUAGGUAGUUGGUGGGGUAAUGGCCUACCAAGCCGACGAUCCAUAGCUGGUUUGAGAGGAUGAUCAGCCACUCUGGGACUGAGACACGGCCCAGACUCCUACGGGAGGCAGCAGUGGGGAAUCUUAGACAAUGGGGGCAACCCUGAUCUAGCCAUGCCGCGUGAGUGAUGAAGGCCUUAGGGUUGUAAAGCUCUUUCAGCUGGGAAGAUAAUGACGGUACCAGCAGAAGAAGCCCCGGCUAACUCCGUG